UCUUUUUCCUCAAUUGAUCGAUUUCGAUGGUCGAUUCAUUUGUUUUCCUCUCAGUUUGUUGGUUGUCAACUGAUUUCUUGAGGUUGAAGAACAUGUAUCUCCAAUCAAUUUAUCAAUCUAUAUUCGGUUUUGUUGAUUGUCAACUGAUUUCAUGAGCUUCAAUGAAAGAGUGAGAGACCGGCCUCGGGGAAGAUGAGGAUAGCUAAUCCUCAAGUAGUAUUGUAGUAGACUUGUUCGGAAAACUUAAUUUAGUGAGUUUUGGGUCUUUGGGGAGAGUAGCGGUUCAAAUUUACAAUUGCUAUAGCAGUUUUAGGCAGCUGAACUUCAUAUGUAUGUUUUCUAGGGAUUUUUCCAUGAUCUAUGUUACUGAAUCGUUUGGCUUUUGAGUCUUCUUACCAUGUUUUUUUUAUUUGGUCAAAUCCUGAUAACUUUGGUUAAAGAAUUAGGAACUUCUCUGUUUUUUUUUUUAACUUCGAACGUAUCUUAAGAGGAAAUUUUCGAGGUUUGUUUCAUCUCCUAAAUUAAACCCGAUGUACGUUAACACAACCCCCAAAACUCUUCAAUUGCCCUUUUUUGAUAUAAUAGUUCAUGUUAUGUUUGAGUUCCAUUUAUAUUUUAAAUCUUAUAGACCAAAAGAACAAUCCAGGUAGGGUGCGAAAUGAGAGUUCUAAUUCACAUGGUAGUGCUUCUCAAACAAUGGGAUUCAAGGCGUUCAUAAAGGAAAGAAAAGAGUCUCCAAUUUCUAAUUUUAGUACAUAGCACCAGAAUGAUCUGGGCAAGACUCACGGUGCAUCCUUUCCUAACAUCAUUAUCAAGGUUAAACUUUCACAUCUCUUAUGUUUCGAAAUGAAUUGCUUCUUCUUUAAUUACUCUGCUUGCUUUUUCACAAGUCUGGUGGAGUUGUAGCCACGGACAAAGAUUACCAGCAAAGUUGAAGGACGUUUAGGAUUCAGUGAUAUGCAAGUCUUCUGAAUUGGUGGUGGACCACAAGCUCCAAUAUCACCUCUGCCAAUCAGGUCCAACCGGGUGUCAAAUCUGUUGAGGGUGACGUCUGUAAAUAUCGAUGAUCAGGAUCUGCUACAUUUUUUUAUCGAUGUCUCAUACGCAAAAGUACCAGACCAGAUUGACUCAAGUUGAUAUACUGAGGAUGAAGAUAACGUAUUUAGCACCACUCCCUGGGAACUUACUUAGCAAGUUCUUGAUCGCUGGAUCUUUUUCAUGGCUUGAGGAGUCGAGGUGAUUUGGUUAGAGAAGAGAGAGGAGAUGAUAAGCUCUGGACAAAUGCCCAUUGUGUGGAACAUGAAGUUUACUUUUCUUCUUGGACUUCAUUUGUAUAUGUUGUUUUCCUAUUAUGGACUUUUUGUAUCCUUUGUCAUUUUAUUAACUCUUAUCUCAUAACUUUUGAUCUGAUUAAAGUUAAGAGAA